rnacentral:lncRNA from 1 species
CUGGGCCUCGUGUCCAUCAGCCAAAUAACUCACGUAAACAUCACUAUGUAUUCACAGGGUCAUGGUUUUGGGAGUGUUCUAAAUGUUUAAAGUAUUCCAAUCAGAAAGCUGGAUGCUCUGUCACUCUACCCAGGAGUGCAGUCAGAAUAAUCUCUAAUUCAAGAGGACACUGGUCCAUGGCUAUCUUUCUUUUCUUACUGUAUCUUGUAACUUCUGUGGUGCUUUAUCGAGAUUUACCAGUGUAAUACAUCUGGGAGUCUCAGGAAAUGUGAUGUUGAAGCAUAUUAACAAUUGUCACCACCCUACUUACCAAGUAUGUUUUCCUUAUUGAAAUCUGACUCGGCAGUGACCCAAUUCCAGAAUCCCAACAUGAAGGGCUGCUUUCCAGACUCUGUGUAACAAGCUGUCCUGGUUUGGCUUCACUGUGAAAGCCAAACCAGAGAUGGCCCUGGAUUGAUUUGCCAAAGAUCCACCCAGGAAUCCUGACUCAUUAAAGAAGGGUGGAGAUUUUCUGAGCUAAGCGAGAGACCUUUCCUCAGAGGUCAUUUUCUCUUCGACUUCUUCUGAGGCAACUCCUGCAGCCAGCCCCCAAAGACAGAAUCAGAUAAUAGGAAUUCAAAAACCUAACUUAACUGUGAGCCAUGUUACAAGGUUCAAGACCUUCAGCAACAGCCAGUUUUACUAAGUUACUAAUAGUCAAGGAGGUAAAAAAUGUUUUUCUGUUUUGUCUUUUAUUGAUGACUAAAUGAGAAUUAUCGAUACCUCAUUAUGAAGUUUCUUUCUUUUCAGAAGUAAAGUGCAUAUUUAGUCUUUUGGAUUUUUAGUAGUUGGCAAAAAUUUAAGUGCUGAACACUGAAGUAAUUUACCAUGUUAUCAUAUUGCUCUGUAAUACUAUAAUACAUCCUUUUCUGUGUGUAGCUGAGACUAUAUAUUUCCUGAAAAUAGAUACUCCAGCUCUUUCAUCUCUGUGCUACAUUUUCUAGCCACAGAAUGCUGGGAAUUAUAACAUUUAAUAUUUUUACACAAAUAAUAAUGUUAAUGGAUGGCCAUAAAUGAAUGUCAGAAACCCCAAAUUCUUGUCCUCAUUUUAAUACAGAAUUCCAAAUCUGCAUUUUCACAAAGUCCAUUCUUGGUAAAAGGUGCCCUAAGUGUAUUUACUAUUAUGACUUUUAUUGUGAGAGUUUCAAACAGCAGUGCAGUUGGGGAUAGGAAGGGAAGAAACUUAUCUGAGGCCAGGUAGAACUGCUUCACUCCUCACAAAUCACACUGCAACACUUGUACUCUAGCUUACCCCAACUGAUGAUCACCACUUUCUAGCAGAAUCGCAUAUAUGUAGUUAUAUUCUUACACAUGCUCUGUCCCAUCAAUCCCAACUUAGUCCCUUCAAUAAAAGGCACUACAGUAGUUGUUUUGCUAAACAUCUGCUAUAUAAAUAUAUAUUUAUUAAACUUUCAAAUUGGCAAGAAAUUUAAAAACCAUUAAAUCUAACCACUUACCUUUUUGAAUUAAAUAAACAUAACCCACUCAGAAAAAUAAAAUAAAUCUCUCAAGUAAACAGGGGCAGAAUUGGCACUUCAAAUGGAUCCCCUGAUUUUUAGUGCCAAUCUCAUUAUAGCCCAUGGAUAUAUUUUUUUCCUGGACUUAAGUGAAAUGCAUUUUCUCUGUUGAUAAACUUGAAAUCAAAGCAGAAUAAAUGAUUUGUGGAUUAUAUUAUCCCAUUUAUAUUGUACACAUAAAAUGUCAAUUCUGGCUGAUGAAAAAAGAAGCCAACAUACUAGUAAGUUAAUAACAGAUAACUUCCAAAGAGCAAUAAGCAAUAAUUGUAUUCAAGAAAUGAAAAUGAAAUGAUAAAUAACUACUUUUCAUUAGAAUAAAGACAGCAAUUUUCCUAUUAUAUUUAAAACAUCAAAAAAUAAAAAAAUUAUAAAUUUUUAAAAAUGUGUUAAAUCCAUGAUUAGGUGAAAUCUGGUUUCAAUAGCAAUAGCAAUAACAAUAUUUCUGCAACAAUUAAGAGCUGGCAGUCCAUACAUUCAAGAAUACUCCCUCAGCUAGUGUUUAAAGGCCUCAGAGUAAUUUUGUUAGAAUAUAUGUUUUUUUUUCAGGUAAGCAACCAGAUUCAAAGGUGUGAGGUGGUUUAACCACAACAAGUAAUUGGUAAAAGAGAAGUGGGAACUGAAAGAAAAGUUUGCUGACUACAAAAGUUUUUGUUUGUAUGUUUGCCUUUUCAUUAUUAUUUUCACUGAACUGCUUCCUAACAAUUAAAUUAUAUUGUGUUGCAUAAGUAUGUCAUAGUUUGAAAAAAAUCAAGAGAAAAAACAAUCAAAAUUUUCAAAUUACUAAAAAUGUCUCAAUUUUUCAAUAAUGUUGCACAUUUUAAAAUAUUCAAGUAGUCAUAACAUCUGCAAAAUAUGAUAGUUUUUUAAUAACUUUUAUUUUAAGUUCAGGGCUACCUGUGAAACUUUGUUACAUAGGUAAACUCGAGUCACAGGGGUUUGUUGUACAGAUUAUUUCAUUACCCAGAUAUUAAACCCAGUGCCUAAUAGUUAUUUUUUUCCGCUCCUCUCCCUCCUCCCACCUUCCACCCUCAAGUAGUACCCAGUGUCUGUUGUUUCCUUCUUUGUGUUCAUAAGUUCUUAUUAUUUAGCUCCCACUUGUGAGAACGUGGUAUUUUUGUUUCCUGUUCCUGAGUUAGUUUGCUAAGGAUAAUAGCCUCCAGCUCCAACCAUAUUCC